UACGGAGGGUGCAAGCGUUAUCCGGAUUCACUGGGUUUAAAGGGUGCGUAGGUGGGCAGGUAAGUCAGUGGUGAAAUCUCCGAGCUUAACUCGGAAACUGCCGUUGAUACUAUUUGUCUUGAAUAUUGUGGAGGUAAGCGGAAUAUGUCAUGUAGCGGUGAAAUGACUUAGAUAUGACAUAGAAACACCAAAUUGCGAAAGGCAGCUUACUACACAACGAUUGACGCUGAGGCACGAAAAGCGUGGGGGAUCAAACAGG
rnacentral:rRNA from 1 species